UGCCCCACACAGCAUGGUGUCUGUGGCAAACUUUCUGAGGGUUUGGUCCCACUGUCCUUGAUCCCACUGUCCUUGUCAGUGACAAAUCUUGAGCAGCAUCACUGCCAGUACUGACCCUUGAGGGACAGCAAUUGGCACUGGUCUCCAUUUGGACAUUGAACACAACUCUUCUAAGUGCAACCAUCCAGUUUCUUGUAGACUGAGAGGCAUUAAUCCAUGCCUCUCCAACUUAGGGACUAAAAUGCCAUGUGUGGCAGUGUCAAAUGCUUUGAAUAAGUUCAGGCAGGUAAUGUUGGUUGCCCUUCCCUUGUCCACCACUGCUGUAAUCUCACUAUAGAAGGCCACCAAAUUUGUCAGUCACAGUUUGUCUUUAAUGAAGCCAUGUUGUUUGUUAUUAAUCCCCUCUAUUUUUCACUCCCUUUGCAAAAUUUCCAGGAGAAUCUAUUCCAUGAUCUUGCCAGACACAGAGGUGAGGCUGACUAGCUUGCAGUUCACCAGGCCUUCCUUUUUUCUCCUCUUUUAAAAAUGGGGAUCAUGUUUUUUGGUUUAAUGGGAAUUUCUUUAGAUUGUCGCAACUUCUCUCAUUGGAUGCAUAGUUGGCCUUUCAUCUGCCAGUUCCCUUGAGUGCAUCUCAUCAUGUCCCAUGUACCUGUGCACCUUGAGUUUCCUUAGAUGGUCUCAAACCAGAUCCUCUCCACGGAGAUUGGUUCUUCAUUCUCCCCAGUCCCUGCCUUUACCUUCUGCAGCUUGGCUGGAGCACUUCCUGGUGAAGACUGAGGCAGAAGAGUAAUUGAGUACCUCAGCUUUCUCUGUGUUCUGGGUAGUCAGGUCUUCUGUUCCUAUCUGAAGAGGAUCCAUAUUUGCCUUAGUCUUCCUUUCAUCACUAAGGUACCUAUAGAAGAUUUUCUUGUUGUAUCAGGGAUUUAGUUUUUAUAGAAUCAUACAAUCUGUCUGCCCAGGCAAUCUCUUUGUAUUCCUCAGAGUCCGUCUCUCCUUCUUUCUGUGCUCUUUAGGCUCUCUUUUUGCGUUUGAGUUUGUCUAGGUGCUCUUUGUUCAUCCAUACAGGCUUCCUGGCAAUUUUGUCUGACAUGAUCUUUGUUGGGAUCACUCCUGAGUCUGGAGGAGGUGAAUCUUGAAUAUUAACAAGCUUUCUCUCUUUCCUCCAGGAUUUUAUGCCAUGGUGCCCUACCAAACAGAUCCUUCAAGAGAGCAAGAUCUGCUUUCCCAAAGUUGAGGGUAAUGAGUUUCUCCUGCCCCUUCCUUGUGGCCUAAGGAUCUUGAAGUUCACCACUUCAUCAUCACUGCAGCCAAGGCUGUCCUGGAGCUUCCCAUUCUACACCAGUCAUUCCUUGUUGGUGAGAACAAGGUCCAGGAUAGCACCUUUCCCUGAUGGUUAUUCUGCAGCCAGGCCUCUGUAAUCCUUCUUGAUACUCCUCAGUCUUCUCCUGGCUGUGUCACUGCUGCUGUAUCAUGUGGAACAGCAGCAGUGUGUAAUAGUCAGUGGACUGUGCAAGGCUCAGCAGCCUAUCAGUGACGUCUCUCCUACGACUGCCCUGUAAGAGCACCUCUCUAGAGAGUGUGUCAGGUCUCUCAGUACCUCUGAACCUCUCAGAAGUCACCUACUGCUGUCACCCCUUGCCUUUUCUUAGUUGUGCUGGCUGUGAUGUGGGACCAGAUGGGGCUGCCUUACUGCUUGUUAUAUGGGGAGCAGAUGGGGCUGCCUUACUCAGGCCUGGUGCUGCUCCUGAUCUGGCAGGUCUUUCUUCUCAGUCUGCAGGGUGUUGAAGUGGUUCUGCAAGGGCAUCUCAGGCUUGGGGAAUUCUCUUCUUUCUGUGGGUCCCUGCUGUUGCAAGCUUCCAUUCUCCUGUGUUAUCACCCCCCUUCCUUCUGUGUGUAUUGCAUCCUCUUUCUUCCCUGCUCCCCUGUUGCAGCAUGUUUGAAAAUUGUGAAGAGUAGUCUUAGAGUAGGGGGAUGCUGAGUAGAGGCUUUAAUGCAUCAGAUAAAUAAGCCUGUACUCUGCUUUCUUUCUCUCCUUUCAUAUUUUGACUUGGCUGUACUGAAGAUAAGUUGUGUUCUGCUACUGAACUUUUUAACAGGGAGAACAGAUGAAGUUGGCAAGUUAUUUAGAAAAAUGCUCUAUCCCACCUCUGGUUUUAUCAAUUAUUAUUACAUGCUUUUCCUUUGUCAGAAAAUGGUUCUUUCAACACUUUUAUGUUUGGUGGCAUUUGAUGUAUUGCCAGGUACUUAACCUGUUGGUUUUUUAGAUCAUAGGGUCUGUGGAAAAAUCUACAAAAUAUUAAAAAAAAAAGAUAUUAUUUUUUCUCUCUUUCAGCUUACUUUUUUCUUUCACAGUAAACUUAGUGUAAAAUGAGAUGUGACAUCGAAGGUACUUUAUCGGCAGAUUGUCAGAAUCUUGUGCUGCAAGUUUCUCAUGUUAGUUCUGCAAGCUCUACACAUCUCUGCUUUCAGUUUCAAUGGUGGAUUUGUCAAAUGGGAUAUUAACUUCCAGCAGCAGCCUGUUACUGCUGCAAAGCAUAGUCUUGCCUGUGUUUGAAUUGAUUAGAUUUUGGGUCAUCACAGCAUGCCAAGUCCAGGCUCUUUGGGUUAGUGACACAACCAGGAUAUGAAGCUUUGAAGUAAUGCCUCCCUUGGCAUAAGUCCAGAAUAAGCUGCAUUUCAUACACUGCCCUCCAAAAAAACAGGCUUUGUUAGGGCAGAAGUGAUUGUGUGAGGCAUCAGAUUGGCAGGUCAGAGAGCAUCGACAUUAACACACCCUGAUCUUGUCUGCUGACACAGCUGUUUAGUUUAAAUCUUGUUUAUUUUAUGUCAUGUCAGAGUAUAAAAACCCUCUACUGAUGUGAGUACACAGGCACGCAAACAUUCUGUAGAAUAUGAUCCCAAAUAUAAGCAGUUUUCAGUUCAGAAAAAAAGUAUUGGAAAAGUUGUUAUUUUAAGAAAAUUCAGAGAUUAUUGCAAAAGUUUUGAAAUAACUACACUGACUCAUAAGAGAUCUGUAAGAUAGUGGGAAAGUUAUAUAUGACCAUACGAGCUUCAUAAGAUUUAUAAACUAAAUUCUAAAGGCAGAAAGAAAGGUUUAGCAAAUACAAAACAGGAAAGUAAAUAUUUUUUUUUUGUACAUCCAUGAAUUUUUAUGAAAUAAGCAUUUGAAACUUGCAAUUUACUUUCCAUUUUGAAGAAUUUACACUUUUUCCCUACCUGAGAUGCGUAAAUCGAAUAGAAUUCACUGAUAAUAUUCUCAAUGUAGAUUUAAGAACUUUUCCUUAAAUAUAAUUCCAAAGGGAGUCUUUGAAAUGUAGUGUCAUUCAUGUGUCUUCAACGUGGCAGUUUUCUUAGAUGAGAAGAAUUGGUGGAAAACAGGCUUUCAUUUGUGUGAGAUAACUCACAUGCUAGUUGUAAUGUUAAUUAAAGAUACAUGUGUUUGCAAGGACAACAAAAGAUGCUCUCUUGUGGUAUUUUGAAAUGUGAUGAAGUGCUUGGCUUCAGAAUGUGUUCUAUUCUGUUUAUGUAAUAUGGAAAAAAAUGUUCUUUUCUAUCUUCAGUACCUUUUUUGGAGGAUUCUUCGUUGUGUAUUUUGUAGUGGCUUGAUCAUUGAUAGCAAGGUAAAACACCUGAAGGAGGCUUCAUUGUGCAACCUCAGCUUUGAAAGAUUUUACUGAACCCCAGCUUCUUCGAAGAUUACCUGCAAAAUAUUGAAAUACCAGGUUGUCUGGUGACAAUGAAUGCACUUACGUUAAGUAACAAAUGCAAACAACGUUUCCUUUGCUUUUCUUCUCAUUCUUAAAAAUCUGGAGGAAAAAACCCCAAACUAACAAAACUCCACAAUGUUGAUAUGAACUCAAGGUGUCAGGUUUGAAUACAGAGUUUGGAAAUUAAAAUUAAAGGUCCAUUUGGCAGCUGCAGCUGACAACGUCAUUUGUUCAGUAAAGCACGUUUGGUGUUGUGAAUGACUGACCUAGUAAAUAUGUCCCAGAUGGUUAUCAGCUCUCUUUACACUUAUUAGACUCUUACAUUUCACUCCUGCCAUUCUGGCUGCUUUAUAAAACCAUGUACAUGGUUGGAGAAAUAAAUUAAAAUAUCUCUCCUAGUUUGUUUAAAAUAAGUGAAAAGAAAACACCAAACAACCAUAAAACAGUCAAAGUGUGCACUGUGGGCAAGGUGAAUUGGAGGAGUCUGUCUCCAGUUUUGUAAUGACUACCACUUUCCUCCUGAAAAUCUGUCUCCUUGGCAAAUCCACUGUCCCCAAAAAUACUGUCUGCAAAUGUUUGUGUGAAUGGAAAUAGAUUACAAGAAGGUGGCAGUGUGAUUUCUAAGUAUGAAAGAAGCUGCUAAUGUAUUUUGUAACAGCAAAUGUGUGUGUUUAAAUCUCUUCCUUUGUAAUCACUUCUUUGUUUAGGUGAAUGUGGGAAAAAAAGAGAAACCAAACAAAAUGAGUUUAAAAUUAAGUCACUUGAGAAUAUGAUUCCACUGCAGUGUAUAAGAUACAGCUCCAGAUCAUCCACACUCUCUCAUGGAUUUUAUUGAUGCUUUGCAGGAUAGAGACAGAAAUGAAAAUUCAGCUCCCCUAUUGUGCCAAAUCAAUCACAGAUCCACAGAGCAGCUGUCAUCUUUCUUGUGGCCAGUUGACUUCUUGCUCUCAAACAAGUAGCGUCCCCUCAUUUGAACACCCAGCCUGUGAUACUGAACCUCGUGCUACUGUUCUAAUAAGCAAAAUAAAUAUUACUUGGUUUUCUGAAAGGAAAAUAAAGGUGAGAAGAUACUUAACCUGUUAAAAUGAAUUAAGGAAAAAUGGAGGCAGGGAUUUGAUAUUGGAAAACAAUUAUUAUGGUCUGGUCCUUGUGGAGAGAUAUUAAUGUUUGGCUUAAUAAACAAGUUUUAAGUAAGAAUAAGGCACUUAGAGUUACAGCACAGUGUGGUAUAGUAUGUUGUUUGCCUUGAAUUUACUUUGGCAUGAGUAGCUGAAUUUUCUGGAGUUGUACACCAAUAGUUGCAAACUUUCAUCUAGAGAUAUUUCUGGCUGGAAUAAUUUUCUUAGUAAUUUUCCUACUAGCAUAUACAGUGAAAAUAAUGUUGAUUACAAACCUGUGUUUUAGUUAUUGCCUAACAGUCCUUACUUUAAACCAAGGGUUUCUGAAUUUCCCAUUCUCUACCAAUUAAACUAGUUCAUCAGAAGCACAAACAGAAGAUGGGAGGCUGCAGUCCUCAGCAGAAGCUGAGUCUCAACAAGAUAAGAACAGUUACUGGCCUGUCUGUGGGGUCGUGGGAAAACAAUCCUAUAAACUGUUAGGAGGCCCCAGACCAAAAGUUGCCAUUGAACCAAAAGGCAGGUGCAGGGCACGUAAGAACAGAUGCAUAAAUUCUGAGGCAGUUAAAGCCCAUGGGUCUUGGUACGCGGUCCCUUAAUAGAUUAACCGGGCUCUAGCUGUCCUAUUGGUGUACCAUUCAAUUUUGUGGUUAUUUUUGCCUGCAGCUGCAUGACAGAAACUCUGCUGUGAGGAACCUAGAGUGGAGAAAUUUCUUUUUUAACAUUUCCAUUACACAGGGCAAUUUUUAGUAGUACACAUGUAGACCCUAAACAGUACUGGGCCUUAUGCUCGACAAACUACACAGCAUAAGCAUAUUCUAUGAUAAGACAGAAGUUAUGGCAAAAUCUUACUAUUUCUGUAGGAAACAACUGUGCUUUAGGAACAAUAUGUCUGUGAUACUCUAGAUACUCUAGACUGUCUACUACAUCAUAGGAAACAUACUCAAUAGGUGUACUUCAAAUAAGUGUAACUGAUUUACUUGUUUUGUGCAUAUAAACUUUAAAUUUAUGUUAAAGGUGAUCUCAUAUGUUGAGAAGAAUGAUAAAUAGUGCAGAAAAGAGCUGAAGAAGAACAAGGAAAAUUAUCCAUAUCUUUCUUGCCAAAUACAAGACUGGGCAGAAUUAUAAGGAAAGGGAAGGCAAGGGCCUGGGGUGAGAUUCUGACCUUGCUGGUGUCAGCAUAGCUAUUGUUCCAUCUUUGUUUAGUAUGAGGAUACAGACAUGGAAUUGAGUUCAUUGUUAGCAAAGUCUGGUUUAGAACAUCUUCUAUGAACCUCAAUCCUUAACAAUGCUCAGUUGUUGUGCUUCACUUACCAUCCUAACACUAGCACUUACAUACUCUGUCCUGAUUUGUGACAGAAGUUAUGUCUACAGGAGUAGAGGGAAUUUGGAAGCCUCUUUGUGUUGAUAAAAAAAGAAGAGAAUUAGUCCAGGAGGGAGCUGGGCAAUGAAAUAUGUAAGUACUCUGCCAGGCAGCCCAGUGGAUGUUCUUCAUUACUCAUCAGCAUUCAACACCAGUUGACCAACUUUGCUCCUGUGACCAUGGAAAUGUACUGUGAAUAUAACACAUGUCCAAAAUAAGAAAAUGCUAUGAACUAGAGAGGGGGAAGGCAGGAGAGCCAAAGGUAACUGAAAACUAGUAACACAAAGUAUCUUCUUGUAAAAGAGGAAGCAAAGACACUUGAAUUUUCCAGUGAUUCCAUUAUCCUCUACUCUGCAUCUGGUACUUAGAAUCUCUAUCUGAUUUCAUGUGACUACAUGUUCUGUAUAGCACUGACUUUACUCUGCCCUGCUACCUGAUAAUUGCUAACACAACUGAGACAUGCAGUUAGGCAAGAAAAAGCACAGAACAAAGGUUUCUCUUGUUUCAUAUUUUUUUGAUCAUAGCAGAAGUCAAAACAAACUGCUUGUUUCAGUGUGUUGACUAGUCUGGAGAGUAGCAGUGAGGACUCUUCUGGAAGACAAAGGCCUAUCCUCAUCCAGACCAACUGCAAAACAUCUUUUCAAAAGGGAGAUUGUAACUGUUCACUCACAGUGCAUAAGUCAAAACAAGAAGUAGUUCUCAGAUGAUGCGCACUAUUGGAAGCUGUUUGUCAACAGCACUGUUUACUUCUUACUUUGGAAUUUUUUUCAGUAAAUGACAAAGACUUUGCUGAUCUGCCAUAAAGAAUGAAAUUUAAAGGAUGGAACACAAAAAGGCAAAGCUACAUCUCAAAAAAAUCAGUUGGAAUCUAGGUUGACCGCUGAGCUAAAAAGUUUUCCAGUGCUGAAACACAUGGCUGACUGCAGAGUAAGAAAAAGGAAAAGGAACAUAAUUGAGUAGGAAAUGGGAUGAAACUCUAUACUUACUGCCAUUCCAAGGAGAAAAAGUUAGGCUUACUUAAGAAAGAUGAUACAAAGUUAAUAAUGGUACUAAAAGAGUAGGUCUGCUUGUUCAAGAACAAGAAGGGACUGAUAAAAGUUGGCAUGUACAAAAGGAAAAGUAUUGCGAAGCUCUUUCCUCCUUUUCCAUCACAUGAUGAAACUUGCUUACAUCUUCUGCUGACCUGUGUGCAUACAGGGAGAUUUAUUGGUUGAUUCAUAGAUAGGUAAGUGUAUGUGCCCACAGUAGCAAUUCUGAAAUACAAUGUUAAGAAUCUACUAAGGUAUUUUAAAAUUAACACAGCACCAUGCCAUUUUUUGAUUAUUUUUCCCACAUCAACAUUAGUCUCUCCUGAACCACAAUAAACACCAAAAAAGCACACAAGUGUGAAUAAGUGUCUUUCUUACACAGCACAAACCCCACCACCCCAAACCAAAACUACAGUUUCUCUGAAUAAAUUCCAUGUUUCUUAAACCCUGUCUUACAGUUAGAAAACUGGUUAAUAAAUUCACAACACUCAUAAGAUACUGUAAAUCAAAGCAUAGGAGAUUUCUCAUAUCUGUCUUCAAAUGUCUCUUGUUCU